GGGCGUGUGGUCUAGUGGUAUGAUUCUCGCUUUGGGCGCUAGUUACUUUGUAACAACACGCAAGUAUGCGAGAGGCCCUGGGUUCAAUUCCCAGCUCGCCCC